ACGAACGCUGGCGGCAUGCCUAACACAUGCAAGUCGCACGAGACCUUCGGGUCUAGUGGCGCCCGGGUGCGUAACGCGUGGGAACCUGCCCUUAGGUUCGGAAUAACUCCCCGAAAGGGGUGCUAAUACCGGAUAAUGUCUUCGGACCAAAGAUUUAUCGCCUUUGGAUGGGCCCGCGUUGGAUUAGCUAGUUGGUAGGGUAAAAGCCUACCAAGGCGACGAUCCAUAGCUGGUCUGAGAGGAUGAUCAGCCACACUGGGACUGAGACACGGCCCAGACUCCUACGGGAGGCAGCAGUGGGGAAUAUUGGACAAUGGGCGAAAGCCUGAUCCAGCAAUGCCGCGUGAGUGAUGAAGGCCUUAGGGUUGCAAAGCUCUUUUACCCGGGAUGAUAAUGACAGUACCGGGAGAAUAAGCUCCGGCUAACUCCGUG
rnacentral:rRNA from 1 species